rnacentral:misc_RNA from 1 species
ACCUGGUUCAUAUGUUGGUGAAGUGGUGAAGGUCAUGGGGAAAUCGAAAGUUCUUGUAAAGGUUCAUCCUGAGGGUAAGUAUGUCGUUGAUGUCGACAAAAGCAUUGACAUAACAAAAAUUACACCGUCGACCAGAGUUGCUCUGCGCAACGACAGCUAUGUACUUCAUUUGGUCUUGCCUAGCAAGGUCGAUCCUCUGGUAAACCUUAUGAAGGUCGAGAAGGU